CCCACAAGAUCUUCAGAUUAGCGGUCUUUCAUUACUCCACCACAUUUGAAUCCGAUUGGCUCUACUUGGCAAGUCGGCGGGAAACACCUCGGUCCAUACGUUGGGGAUAUGCAUUGGGGAAACAAAAUCCGCGGGCGAAAAUCUGAAUCCGAAGCAUCAAGCCGACGACUUAGCGCGAGAUCGAUCCUCCAUUCACUAACCUCGGUUCGGUCGGGAAGUCCUGAAACAGCUAAAAUUCACGUUAAAAUUUCGCUUUGACGUUGAAUACGAAACAGGAAUCGCUGCUCUCGGAGAGAAAGAAACAUAGAACUAAAGAAAAAAAUAAAAGAGUUGUUAUCGUGCACUGUGGCUACUUUGAUAGAUAUAGAGAAGAGUUGAUA
rnacentral:sRNA from 1 species